rnacentral:rRNA from 1 species
CCUACGGGAGGCUGCAGUCGAGAAUCAUUCACAAUGGGGGAAACCCUGAUGGUGCGACGCCGCGUGGGGGAAUGAAGGUCUUCGGAUUGUAAACCCCUGUCAUGUGGGAGCAAAUUAAAAAGAUAGUACCACAAGAGGAAGAGACGGCUAACUCUGUGCCAGCAGCCGCGGUAAUACAGAGGUCUCAAGCGUUGUUCGGAAUCACUGGGCGUAAAGCGUGCGUAGGCUGUUUCGUAAGUCGUGUGUGAAAGGCGCGGGCUCAACCCGCGGACGGCACAUGAUACUGCGAGACUAGAGUAAGGGAGGGGGAACCGGAAUUCUCGGUGUAGCAGUGAAAUGCGUAGAUAUCGAGAGGAACACUCGUGGCGAAGGCGGGUUCCUGGACAGUAACUGACGCUGAGGCACGAAGGCCAGGGGAGCGAAAGGGAUUAGAUACCCGGGUAGUC